GAUGAACGCUGGCGGCGUGCCUAACACAUGCAAGUCGAACGGUCAACUUCGGUUGAUAGUGGCGCACGGGUGAGUAACACAUGGUUGAUCUACCCCAAAGUAGGGGAUAACGUUCCGAAAGGAAUGCUAAUACCCUAUAAGCUCCCGGUGUUUAGAAGACUGGGAGAAAAGUUCCGGCGCUUUGGGAGGAGACUGCGAAC
rnacentral:rRNA from 1 species